GGUCGCGUGGCCAAAUGGUACGGCGUCUGACUACGACUAGUUGAUCAGGAGAUCGCGGGUUCGAUCCCCGUCGUGACCU
rnacentral:tRNA from 1 species